CGGGAGGCUCCCGCCCCGCUUCCCUCCCGGGGAAGGCAGCGUCGGCAAUCCGGCUGGAAUCCGGCUGGAAUACGUGUGUAGUCCGGCUGGACUCCGGCUAGAAUACGUGUGCAAUCCGGCUGGAAUACGUGUGCAAUCCGGCUGGAAUCCGGCUGCAAUACGCUCCCCGAGCACGGCCCCAGCGCGGGCUCGUUACCCGUGCGCACGCCAGUUCACACAGCCAAGCGCUAUUCCCGCGGCUCUCCGCGUUUUAUUCCGGGUCGCGGCAAGCAGGGAGCCGGGCGGUGGCCACGGAAGGCUCCCCGGUCACCAGAACGGCUCAGUUCUGCUCUCCUUCCGAGGCUGGGUUCCGUUUUGAGUAGGCGGUCAAUGAGUCGGUGGUCGCGAUCUCCCACUGCCGGAAUGACCUUUCCCCCAGGUACUCCUGACUUCACUCCUGGCGUGACUCCUGUCAUCUAGACAGCCCAUUCAUCCUGGGAUUGUCUUCCCUUUCCUUGUAACAAAGGAUUAGCAGAGCAUACAGUGUUCACAGUGCAACUGCUUAAUCCUAACUGUGCAGCUAUAGCUAGGCUAACCACAAAAAAAAAAAAAGAUGCAAAGUUUGGUUCAAGUCUUCAUGGGCUCGAUAGCAACAGUGCCUGGCCUGUACUAUUCUUUACUGGAUGUCUUAACUUCCCUGCCAGCCCUGGUUAGUCUGACAGCCAAGGGCACUACAGCUCCCAGCACAACAGCUUUUUCAUCUAUGCCCUUCCUGUGUGUCCUCCAUGUUCUCCUUUCUUCUAAUCCUUAAAAAAUUUCCUCUUAUUUCCUCUUCUGUUAUUUCUGUAUGUUUUUUUUUUUUUUUUAAGCCUCGUUGCUCACAGUUUCCCAUCCUUUCCCCUUCUCCUUCAUCUCCCAAGCUGUAGGAAAAACUGUCUCUGCCUGUCCCAGCCACCUCCCUGCCAAGUCCUUAGCUGGUCAGAGGUCAGCUUUGAAGUUCCCAUCUCUAAUCAGUGCAACAACAUGUGCUGAGCCGGCACCAAGAACCCCUCAGAGAAUCUGCUGAUUAUUCUUCUUGUUGUGGGUACAUACAGACAAAGAAACUUGCCACAGUUUUCAAAGAACCAACUCCUUAAUGAGUUCAUACUAUUAACAGUAAUUGGAGGUUGUAUAAACAGGUCCCCAGAGUUAGAACAGCCCUGAUGCACAGGGGACACUGAGGCCUGAAAUGUCACAUGUGAAUGUUUCUCUGAGGCAUCUGAUGUCCAAAAUGCUGUGGAAAGCUGAAGAGCCCUCACAUGAACUGCAGAGACCAAUAUGUCAGAGAUGUGAGCUUUGUGUCUGAAAGCUGUCCCCCAAAGUGGUGCAUUCUGAGGCUCAGUUUGGGCUUUAAACAAGUUUGGUCUAACAUCACCAAAUACCUGAUAGAUGUUGGUUAUUUUUGCUCAACAUCCCCAUCCCCAGAAAACAAACCAAAUUAAUAAAAAAAAACCCCAUAAAACUCAAAUACCAAACUGAAUGUCUUAACAAAAAAAAAAAAAAAAAA